CUACCAACCAGAGCUCAACCCCUAGGACCCUCAUGGUAAAGAGAGAACUGACUUCCACAAGUUGUCCUCUGAUCGCCACAUGUGUGCUCAGGCACACAGGUGCCCAAGUACACAUAAACACAUAGAUAAAUUGUAGUUUUAAAAAUUCAAGAUUAUGAAGGUAUAAUAUGGGGGGAAGGAAGUUAUAUAUGUGAUUAUGUAUCCUGAUCUCAAGAAACAUUGGACAUUUCCAGAGAAAGAAUCAGAAUCAGAAAGGGUGAGACACUUUUCCUCAAAGAACCAACUACUUUCCAGCUGUGUGGACUGCACAGUUCCUGUGGUAAUUACAACUCUGUUGCUAUAACUUCAGGGCAGUUCUCAAAUAUUUUAUGACAGCACAGCUCUGUUCCAAAGGAACCUUACUUAAAAUGCCAACCCGCCAGUGGUAAUCUGGGCUCUUGAGGCAUGGAUUGAAAUAUGAAAAGGCAAGGCAAAGCAGUCCUCAUCAUACAGCCAGAAUUAUCUGGACCCUCUAGACUUCUGACAUCAUGAAACCAGGUGCUUUCUCAUUGGUCUGAGGAUGGCUGUGUGAUGGUUUCUAUAUGCUUGGGCCAGAGAGUGGCACUAUUAGGAGGUGUGGCCUUGUUGGAGGUGUGUCACUGUGGCUGUGGGCUUUAAUACCCUCGUCCUAGCUGCCUAGAAGUGAGCAUUCUGCCUUCAGAUAAAGAUGUAGACCUCUCAGCUCCUCCUGCACCAUGUUCCUGCCAUGAUGAUGAUAGACUGAACCUCUGAAUCUGUAAGCCAGUCCCAAUUAAAUUAUGAGUUGCCUUGGU